rnacentral:rRNA from 1 species
CGUCUAUAUACGUAUAGCAUAUCAAUAAGCGGAGGAAAAGAAACUAACUAGGAUUCCCUCAGUAACGGCGAGUGAAGCGGGAAGAGCUCAAAUUUGAAAUCUUCAAGGUUCUACCUUGACGAAUUGUAGUUUAAAGAAGUGUUUUCUGUUGGAGUUUUGGUAAAAGUUCUUUGGAAUAGGACAUCAUAGAGGGUGAGAAUCCCGUAUUUGACCAUUAUUUCCAACUUUGUGAUACACUUUCAAAGAGUCGGAUUGUUUGGGAAUGCAGUCCAAAAUGGGUGGUAAAUUUCAUCUAAAGCUAAAUACUGGCGAGAGACCGAUAGCGAACAAGUACCGUGAGGGAAAGAUGAAAAGAACUUUGAAAAGAGAGUUAAACAGUACGUGAAAUUGUCAAAAGGGAAGCGUUUGACACCAGUGUUGUUUUCUCGAAAAUCAAUUAAAAAUGGACUGGGAUUUUGUGUUGUAUUGACCUUAUCAGCUUUCUGCACUCUUUUCUAUGUAUUUUUUAAUGCACUUUUCGUUUAACAAGUCAACAUCAAUUUCUUUUGUUGUAAAAGGGUCAUUGGAAGGUGGCUUUCUUUUCGGAGAAAGUGUUUAUAGCCUUUGCCUUCUGCAAUCGGAGAGAUUGAGGUCUGCAGCGUAGAUCCUUCGGGGUUAGAUGCAUUUGUGCUAAGUUAUAGCCUUUCAUAGACAACUUGUUGACUAUGAUCAGUCAUGUAGCUUAGCUCGCUUAUGUCAUUUUACCUACGCUUAGGAUGUUGACGAUCAGCUGAGCGCG